CGUACAGCUCCUUGAAGCCGUUCAUGGGCACCCGCGACGUACCCGUCACGAACUGUAGCAGCCGCGACCGCAUCUCGUUCGAAAACGACAGCACUACCUGCGCACGCGCACAAAUAUUACCAUUAUUCAUACCAAAGACAGCUUUCUGCGCAAUUGUGUACCAACUAAAAAAAAAACAUGGAGUGGGCUAAAUAGAGUGCCCUGUGAGACACCACCUCCAACGAUGGACUGAUGACGACAUACCUUGAUGUAUAUGAGCGAGUUAUAGUACUCCAAGUCGACCGACUCCAUGUCCUGCAGCUCUAUGGGCUUGCUCAGCAUCAUUUUGUAGAAUGGACGGAUGAAGAAUGCUGCAAGUGAUGGCACGAUUAAAGAAUU